AUUGAACGCUGGCGGCAUGCUUUACACAUGCAAGUCGAACGGUAACAGGGUGCUUGCACCGCUGACGAGUGGCGAACGGGUGAGUAAUGCGUCGGAACGUGCCGAGUAGUGGGGGAUAACGCAGCGAAAGUUGUGCUAAUACCGCAUACGUACUGAGGUAGAAAGUGGGGGACCUUCGGGCCUCACGCUAUUCGAGCGGCCGACGUCUGAUUAGCUAGUAGGUGAGGUAAAGGCUCACCUAGGCGACGAUCAGUGGCGGGUCUGAGAGGAGGGUCCUCCACACUGGGACUGAGACACGGCCCAGACUCCGACGGGAGGCAGCAGUGGGGAAUGUUGGACAAUGGGCGAAAGCCUGAUCCAGCCAUGCCGCGUGUCUGAAGAAGGCCUUCGGGUUGUAAAGGACUUUUGUCAGGGAGGAAAUCCCUAGUGCUAAUAACACUGGGGGAUGACAGUACCUGAAGAAUAAGCACCGGCUAACUACGUGCCAGCCGCCGCGGUAA
rnacentral:rRNA from 1 species